rnacentral:rRNA from 1 species
AUUGAACGCUGGCGGAAUGCUUUACACAUGCAAGUCGAACGAUGAACCUUAGCUUGCUAGGGGGAUUAGUGGCGAACGGGUGAGUAACAUAUCGGAACGUACCUAGUAAUGGGGGAUAACUAGUCGAAAGAUUAGCUAAUACCGCAUACGCCUGGCGGGGGAAAGAAGGGGAUCCUCGGACAUUCCGUUAUUACAGCGGCUGAUAUCUGAUUAGGUAGUUGGUGGGGUAAGGGCCUACCAAGGCGACUAUCAGUAGCUGGUCUGAGAGGACGACCAGCCACGCUGGAACUGAGACACGGGCCAGACUCCUACGGGAGGCAGCAGUGGGGAAUUUUGGACAAUGGGGGCAACCCUGAUCCAGCCAUUCCGCGUGAGUGAAGAAGGCCUUCGGGUUGUAAAGCUCUUUCGCAAGGGAAGAAAACUUACAUUCUAAUAAAGUGUGAGGCUGACGGUACCUUGAUAAGAAGCACCGGCUAACUACGUGCCAGCAGCCGCAGUAA